UCCUCAGAGCCAGAGGCGCGGGGGCUGAGCCGCUGCGCACUGGUCCGCUCGCCCGCCCGCCCGGUCUCCUGGAGCUGAGGACUCGGAAAACCAUGCAGUUGAGGCGAGGCUUUGGCUGCUUUAGAGGCGCUUCUCCUGGGUAUGCUGCGCCUUCUGGGGGCCCACAGUGGAGCUCCAGGGCUGUGGAGAGACUAGGGGCAGUGGGGAGAGGGCGAGGGCUAGGGAGCCGUGGUUCAGAAAGGGGUAACACGUCUCCUUUCCUUUGCAAAGCUUGAGAGCUAGGGAUGUGCAGGGCAGAAACUCAGAAUUCUCGGUGCCUUUCCUGAUACUAUCCCAAAGAAGGAACACAAUGCCAAAGGAAAGAGACAUGCUUCUGAAACUCCCAGCACCUUGAGUGAAAAGAAGGCUUUGAAAAUGUUGGAUUUGAGCUAAAGAUGGAGACAGAGGCCACAGCAGCUAGUAUGUUUAGCUUACUAGGGAAGAGGUGGGGUGGGGGGAACCUGAUAUGGUGAAAAAUGUUUGUCAUCCUACAGGACUAAAUGAACAAUGUUUAGGAGAAGGAGAAGAGGAGGGCAUACAGACGGCAGGCAAGGCCAGGAGCUGGGAGGGGCCCAGCUCUGAGGCCUCCCCACAUCUAUCCUCUUGGAAGGACCUGGAUAUCGCUGAAGGAAAGUUGAAAAAUGAAAAAGGAUAACAUUUUCCCUUUCCCCAUCCAGGAAAUAGCCGAAGGAGGCCCAACAGCCAAGCUGAGCCCACCCAGCUCAAGGGAAGACCCGAUGGGGGCUAGGCCUGCCCUGGAAGGCCAAGUGCGAGUUGCAUUUUUUGAAGAGUCCAAGACGGGCAAGGCUGUGACAUUGGCCCUGAAGACUGGUCUUCCAUGAGUUGUUCUUUCUCAGGAGCUCCACAGCGCAGGGCCAUUCUCCAGAAAACAGUCUUCAAUGUGUAUUUCCUUUCAUCGUCAACCCAGAGCCCCACGGCAGCUAAUGCAAGAGGCCAAAAAUGUUUGGGAGGAAGAAAAACAAAGGCAGGAAGUGGCGGCGGACUGACGGUGCGUGUGUGUCUGCGGAGAAGGGAGGGAGUCGUUUCAAUCUCAUCUUGUUUCUCCAAACUUCAGGGUCUAGGCAGCCCUCCGCAGGCUGGCCUGCGCUCCCUGCGCUGCUUUUGGAGAUGGCCACCCGGAGAGGAAAAGGCUGGCGCCCGAGCCAGCCUUGUCAGGCGGAAACGACUAACGAGGCGAUUUGCUCAGCAAAGCAGACCAAGCCUUUCUAAACUUCAUUUGAUUUGGCCCUAAAAGUUGGGGGUUGGGGAUUCUGCAGCGCCUCCUGGACCUUCCUAGGCGGGCGGACUGAGUGCACCUUGGCGGAGACUCGUGAGCCCUGUGCUCCACAUGCCUUCCCAGGCGGGAUAUCGGAAUAAAGUGUGUCCAGGUGCUUCUGGCCAGCA